AACGAACGCUGGCGGCAGGCUUAACACAUGCAAGUCGAGCGAGACCUUCGGGUCUAGCGGCGGACGGGUGAGUAACGCGUGGGAACGUGCCCUUCUCUACGGAAUAGCCCCGGGAAACUGGGAGUAAUACCGUAUACGCCCUUUGGGGGAAAGAUUUAUCGGAGAAGGAUCGGCCCGCGUUGGAUUAGGUAGUUGGUGGGGUAAUGGCCCACCAAGCCGACGAUCCAUAGCUGGUUUGAGAGGAUGAUCAGCCACACUGGGACUGAGACACGGCCCAGACUCCUACGGGAGGCAGCAGUGGGGAAUCUUAGACAAUGGGGGCAACCCUGAUCUAGCCAUGCCGCGUGAGUGAUGAAGGCCUUAGGGUUGUAAAGCUCUUUCAGCUGGGAAGAUAAUGACGGUACUAGCAGAAGAAGCCCCGGCUAACUCCGUGCCAGCCGCCGCGGUAAAAC
rnacentral:rRNA from 1 species